GCAGGGCGGCAUGCUAUACAUGCAAGUCGAGCGGACAGAUGGGAGCUUGCUCCCUGAUGUUAGCGGCGGACGGGUGAGUAACACGUGGGUAACCUGCCUGUAAGACUGGGAUAACUCCGGGAAACCGGGGCUAAUACCGGAUGGUUGUUUGAACCGCAUGGUUCAAACAUAAAAGGUGGCUUCGGCUACCACUUACAGAUGGACCCGCGGCGCAUUAGCUAGUUGGUGAGGUAACGGCUCACCAAGGCAACGAUGCGUAGCCGACCUGAGAGGGUGAUCGGCCACACUGGGACUGAGACACGGCCCAGACUCCUACGGGAGGCAGCAGUAGGGAAUCUUCCGCAAUGGACGAAAGUCUGACGGAGCAACGCCGCGUGAGUGAUGAAGGUUUUCGGAUCGUAAAGCUCUGUUGUUAGGGAAGAACAAGUACCGUUCGAAUAGGGCGGUACCUUGACGGUACCUAACCAGAAAGCCACGGCUAACUACGUGCCAGCAGCCGCGGUAAUACGUAGGUGGCAAGCGUUGUCCGGAAUUAUUGGGCGUAAAGGGCUCGCAGGCGGUUUCUUAAGUCUGAUGUGAAAGCCCCCGGCUCAACCGGGGAGGGUCAUUGGAAACUGGGGAACUUGAGUGCAGAAGAGGAGAGUGGAAUUCCACGUGUAGCGGUGAAAUGCGUAGAGAUGUGGAGGAACACCAGUGGCGAAGGCGACUCUCUGGUCUGUAACUGACGCUGAGGAGCGAAAGCGUGGGGAGCGAACAGGAUUAGAUACCCUGGUAGUCCACGCCGUAAACGAUGAGUGCUAAGUGUUAGGGGGUUUCCGCCCCUUAGUGCUGCAGCUAACGCAUUAAGCACUCCGCCUGGGGAGUACGGUCGCGAGACUGAAACUCAAAGGAAUUGACAGGGGCCCGCACAAGCGGUGCAGCAUGUGGUUUAAUUCGAAGCAACGCGAAGA
rnacentral:rRNA from 1 species